rnacentral:rRNA from 1 species
ACUCCGGGAAACCGGGGCUAAUACCGAAUAAUCUCUUUUGCUUCAUGGAAAAAGACUGAAAGACGGUUUCGGCUGUCGCUAUAGGAUGGGCCCGCGGCGCAUUAGCUAGUUGGUGAGGUAACGGCUCACCAAGGCGACGAUGCGUAGCCGACCUGAGAGGGUGAUCGGCCACACUGGGACUGAGACACGGCCCAGACUCCUACGGGAGGCAGCAGUAGGGAAUCUUCCACAAUGGGCGAAAGCCUGAUGGAGCAACGCCGCGUGAGUGAAGAAGGUUUUCGGAUCGUAAAACUCUGUUGUAAGGGAAGAACAAGUACAGUAGUAACUGGCUGUACCUUGACGGUACCUUAUUAGAAAGCCACGGCUAACUACGUGCCAGCAGCCGCGGUAAUACGUAGGUGGCAAGCGUUGUCCGGAAUUAUUGGGCGUAAAGCGCGCGCAGGCGGUCCUUUAAGUCUGAUGUGAAAGCCCACGGCUCAACCGUGGAGGGUCAUUGGAAACUGGGGGACUUGAGUGCAGAAGAGGAAAGUGGAAUUCCAAGUGUAGCGGUGAAAUGCGUAGAGAUUUGGAGGAACACCAGUGGCGAAGGCGACUUUCUGGUCUGUAACUGACGCUGAGGCGCGAAAGCGUGGGGAGCAAACAGGAUUAUAUACCCUGGUAUUCCACGCCGUAACGAUGAGUGCUAAGUUUUUAGGGGGUUUCAGCCCCUUAUGCUGCA